UAAAAUUACGCAAUCGAUCUAUCUCAAAAAUUAGAAAAUAGAGCAACAUUUUCUUCCGUUACAUCAGUGAAGUUCAAAUUUCAAUUAUUUAUGACUUCGCUAUCUUUUGGUAUCUAAUUCUUCUAAUAAUUUUUUAAAUGCUACACAACAGAAAAUAAACAGAAAUAAUUUUUUUUCAUGGUCUGGUAAAAUCUAUUUGUUUGGUUUUAUCUCAACCAUGUCAUGCAGCCUUUAAUUUGACCGUGUCUCGUGCGAGAAGAUAGCAUACUGAUUACGCUGUUAAGAAUUGUCAAAAUAGUUUAUCAAUCUACAAUAUUUACGUUUUAAAAAUAUUUUCGAAAAUCAAUCGGAGCUUCAGUGAAUAAAAAACUGGAUAAAACUGGCAAAUAUCUGAAAAACUGGAAGAUUUUGGGAAUAAACUGUUUGACUGGAUCACUUGAAAAAAACUGGAGGAAUCCAGUUUAAACUGGAACAUUGGCAACCCUGUUUCCGUCAAUGUGAAACUGUCUGCUGGAAGAAAGUGUUUCUGAAGUAAAUUGAGGGCAACGAUAUGGCAGAAUCUACGCCGGUAAAGGUAAAGGAAGAACCGGUUGAGAUAAAGCUGGAAGAGGUUACCAUAUUCGAUACUUUGGAUACGGAAGAAAGUAUACCGUUGGUGAAAAAUUUUCGUCCAACUGUUGUGAAACAAGAACCCACCGUUACCGACAGCAUUGAGGAAGCGGAUACAGUAGCAGAGCCGGCCGAGAUGGAAACUACAGCGACCGAUGCUGGGGCUUCCAGUUCCAGGUCUCCCCAACUGCAACGGAACAGGUCCAACAUUAACGCAUCACAGAUCAAGUUUUUGGUCAAUUUCAUGGAACGACAUCCCAAUCUCGCCCGUAGCCGAUUUAAAACCCCGGAGGAGAAACGAAACUCUAAACGGCUGUGGAAUGACCUGCAGGAAGCUCUAAACCAGCGAGGACCCCCGAAGCGGCACAUGUUGGAGUGGAAGAAGGUGUGGCAGGAUUACAAAUAUAACGUGAAACUUAAGCUACGGCACAACUUGAACUGCCUAGCAAAACCUGGAGGAAACAGGAAAAAAAUUAAGUAUUUAAAUCAGUACGAGGAAAGUGUCGUGCGAUCCGCCGGACUGAAUGAGAUUGUUGGAGCUACGACUGUAGCUACCAAAUCGGCCGAUAAAGUUACGAUUCAACCGGACGUCAAUACGCUUGAGUUGAACUCACAGUCGAAUGACUCGGCAGAGAAGACUGAAACGAUGCUAGUGGAGGUGGAGGUUGAAGAAGCCGAAAACGAGUACGACGCUGAAGUCGACCAGAGUGUCGUCCAAGAGGCAUAUCCCUGUCACGAACGUCAUCCCCAUACAUUUCGCUUGAAGCCGUUUUUCUCUGGCUCUCUGGCUCGAUUACCCGUCAAAAGGCUGUCAGCGCUUGCGAAACAGCCGAUUAAGCACCGUUCAUGCGAGAUUAACUGUUGCUGCAAGUGGUGUGAAGAAAUGCAAAAAGCGAAAAACGAUUGUUUUGUUUUGAACGUUUUAUGGAUUUUGUGCAGGACAUAAAUGGUCACGUUCAAACAUGUUCCAACACGUUCCGGAUGGCCCUACAUUCAAUAUAGUUAGAAGCACGCAAAAAAUCCGUACAGUAACACAUGCGGCACAAUGAACGGAGCUUAUGACCAUAUUUCCAACAGUAGCGCCAUCAUCAUCGGCGGCGGCUUCAGGAAACUGUUGCCAUGACAUCGGUCUGCCAAGAGGAGGAGCCUGGAAAAGAAACUGUGCCCGAAGCUAACGGAAGAGCACCGUACAAGACAAACAAGAGAGAAAAAAUCGACCUGCUGAGGCGAUUUGUAGAAGCGAAAGAGGAAAGCAACAACAUUCGGAGGGAUUUAUUACGCAUCAAGGCGGAAAGUUUAGAGAUCAAACGGAAAAUGUACGAACUGCAAGCGAAGCAAUUUGCUUUGACGCAUGACAAUUGCUUGGCGGAUUAACGAUUCAAUACGGACCACAAGACAGCCGAUGCUACUAAAAGCUCUACAAAAGCCAACAGUAAAACAGAACCAUUCCAAAACCAGCCAGCUUCCGCCAAUCGAAGUGAGUUGAACC